rnacentral:ncRNA from 1 species
UACCUGGUUGAUCCUGCCAGUAGUCAUAUGCUUGUCUCAAAGAUUAAGCCAUGCAAGUCUAAGUACGAGCUCUCGUACAGUGAAACUGCGAAUGGCUCAUUAAAUCAGUUAUGGUUCAUUUGAUCGUACAGUUUACUUGGAUAACUGUGGUAAUUCUAGAGCUAAUACAUGCGAGAAGCGCCGACCUCGCGGGAGGCGUGCAUUUAUCAGACCAAAAACCGGCCGCGUCUUCGGGCGCGUUCGCCUUGGUGACUCUGGAUAACUUUGCGGAUCGCACGGUCUAGCACCGGCGACGGAUCAUUCAAGUGUCUGCCCUAUCAACUUUCGUCGGUACGGUAUUUGCCUACCGAGGUUCUUACGGGUGACGGGGAAUCAGGGUUCGAUUCCGGAGAGGGAGCCUGAGAAACGGCUACCACAUCCAAGGAAGGCAGCAGGCGCGCAAAUUACCCAUUCCCGACGCGGGGAGGUAGUGACGAAAAAUAACACUGCAGGACUCGUUCGAGGCCCUGUAAUUGGAAUGAGUACAC